UACGAAGGGGGCUAGCGUUGCUCGGAAUCACUGGGCGUAAAGCGCACGUAGGCGGACUCUUAAGUCGGUGGUGAAAUCCUGGAGCUCAACUCCAGAACUGCCUUCGAUACUGAGGGUCUCGAGUCCGAGAGAGGUGAGUGGAACUGCGAGUGUAGAGGUGAAAUUCGUAGAUAUUCGCAAGAACACCAGUGGCGAAGGCGGCUCACUGGCUCGGUACUGACGCUGAGGUGCGAAAGCGUGGGGAGCAAACAGG
rnacentral:rRNA from 1 species